UACGUAGGGUGCAAGCGUUAAUCGGAAUUACUGGGCGUAAAGCGUGCGCAGGCGGUUAUGUAAGACAGAUGUGAAAUGCCCGGGCUUAACCUGGGAACUGCAUUUGUGACUGCAUGGCUAGAGUUUGGCAGAGGGGGGUAGAAUUCCACGUGUAGCAGUGAAAUGCGUAGAUAUGUGGAGGAACGCCGAUGGCGAAGGCAGCCCCCUGGGUCAAGACUGACGCUCAUGCACGAAAGCGUGGGGAGCAAACAGG
rnacentral:rRNA from 1 species